ensembl:lncRNA
CCUACUAUCAACUUAAUGUUAUCAAGUGUCAGGACAAGUUUAUAAUUUUAUGUACUAUGUAAACGCUGUGUAAUGUGUUUGAUGGGCGCGCGCGUUGAACAUUCGAGGCCAAUUUAAACUGGAGUGGAGGGAGUUACCAUGGAAACGGGGCGGCAACACAGCUGAUAAGUAGCAAAUCUCUCCGUCUCUCACUGUUGUUUUUACUGCUUUCAGAAAUGGUUCAGUGUCAUGGGAAUAAGUCCGUUAGCAUCACAACCGUGAGCUAACAGAGGCUAACUAUAAGAGCAGAGUUGGAGUGGACCUCUUGUUGUUCAUACUUCUCCAGGCACUAUGAACCAUCUGACUAUCCUGUAUGUCUUACAAGGCCAUCCUGUUUAACACUGCACUGAGGACACUACAACCAGAGAGAUGCUGUCAUGAAAAGGCAACUGCUGGACACCUGGGACAGUCCAUCAAUUCCAAGUUGGCGGAACUGAGGUUUCAACUGAAGAAAAAGGAGACCUGUUAGAGUUUAGAGUUGUCUAAUAGAGAGGGUGAAGGAAGAACAUCCAAACCCUGCCCCUGGUUCCUUCAAGAUUUUUUAUGGAUUUAUAUACAGGUCCUUCUCAAAAAAUUAGCAUAUUGUGAAAAAGUUCAUUAUUUUCCAUAAUGUAAUGAUAAAAAUUAAACUUUCAUAUAUUUUAGAUUCAUUGCACACCAAC